GGCGCACGGGNUGCGUAACACGUAUGCAACCUACCCUUUACAGGGGGAUAGCUCAGAGAAAUCUGAAUUAAUACCCCAUAGCUACAUUUUGCUGCAUGGUAAGAUGUAUAAAGCUCCGGCGGUAAAGGAUGGGCAUGCGUUACAUUAGCUAGUUGGUGAGGUAAUGGCUCACCAAGGCUACGAUGUAUAGGGGUUCUGAGAGGAUGAUCCCCCACACUGGUACUGAGACACGGACCAGACUCCUACGGGAGGCAGCAGUAGGGAAUAUUGGACAAUGGACGCAAGUCUGAUCCAGCCAUGCCGCGUGCAGGAUGACAGCCCUCUGGGUUGUAAACUGCUUUUAUAUGAGAAGAAACCCUCAGAUGCGUUUGAGGCUGACGGUAUCAUAUGAAUAAGGAUCGGCUAACUUCGUGCCAGCAGCCGCGGUAAGACGAAGGAUCCAAGCGUUGUCCGGAUUUACUGGGUUUAAAGGAUGC
rnacentral:rRNA from 1 species